ensembl:lncRNA
CUGCUCAUGUAUACUGUAUUUGAAAGACAUGGGAACCCUGGUUGAGAAGGAGGUAACUGUUGGUAACCUAGUUGAGAAGUUGGCAAUACAGUACUGUACGCACACUGUUCCUAGAAAAUACGUGCAGCAAACCUAAAACUAAAAAUGAAAGUGCUGCGGCACUUGAAGGACUAAUUUGUUUAUUCAGAGAUAAUUAAUGUAUUUUGUACCCACACCUCUAGCAGUCUUUUCAGCUACUGAUGGAGGGAAGGGAAAAGACGGCAAGGUAGUGGGUAUGCGUGUGCAGAAUUGCUCACGGAGAAUUCUUUUCUAUACCGACGCUGACAACUUCAUCCAUCCUUUCCCUUCACUUGUCUCCUCGGUAGUUGGGGGAAGCCUGAGGGGAAAACUCGAAGCGGCCCGACCCACAGACACGCUUAGGCCUAGAACGAAGCGCCUGCGCGCCCCUCCGAGCGGCGGGGGCGCUGGGGGCCGGCCUGAGGCGGGCUCUUCGGGCGGGGACAGGGCGAGGUGCGUAGGGCGCCACGUCGGCAGGCACCGAAGAAACAGCCGCCGCCGCAGCAACGAGGCAGGGAGAGGGGCUCGGCGUUUGCUUCGGGAUCCCGGAGGCGCCUUCCUUCCGAAGCCGUCAGCCAGACUGACCCGAGCGGCCGGACGAGUGGGCCGUGAAGGUUUUCUGUAGAAAAUCACAGUGGGAAUUCCAAAUGAAGUAACAUUUAAUGUUGCCAUUUAAUUAUAAGAAAAAGGAGAAGAGAACUUGAUCUUGGCACUUUGAAGACAUAUAGCAGAGCAUUAAAAAGGUAUGUAGUUCAUGUGUGAUGUUUGUUUAAUUCUAUAAUACUGUAGAAUAUUUCUUGAAAGAUAUCAGUGGCAGUCUGUAUGUUAGCUACUUUAUUUCAAUAUGUGACUGAAUUCAGUUUUUAAAUAUACAUUUAAUGUGCAUAUAUUUCUUUUUAAAACCUGAAACAGGUAGCAUUCAAACUCUGCUUAAAUGACAGAAGCUGUGGGUUGCAGGUAAUCAGCAGUGCUAAAAACAAACACUGUGAUGCUCAAACGUCUUAAUGCUUAGAAGUAGAUACAUAUUCUACAAUAUCUCCACAUGCUGGUGAAACCAUGAUCAAUGUUAGUUUGUUGGUCAAUAAUGUCAUGAGGAAAUGUUUACUUAAAGCAAAAGUCUGAAGGGUGUUGGAUAGUAGAGGGUUAAAAAAUCAGCUUUAAGCAUCUGUUAAUUUGUGCCAUCUUGAAAGUAUACAUUUUGUUCUUCUAAAAUGGCACCUUCAGAAAGCAAUUUGAUACUAUGCCAGGCUAAGGCAAAGUGGAGAUCAAUGCUGUAACUAGCCAACUCUGUAGGAAAUAUGUGGUUGUUCUAAAUGGAAUCUAUCAGAUCUCUUGGCAAAAUUCCACAUGAUCUUGAUUGUUCUAAUUAAAAAACAGAACAUGUCAGCAAGUUGGUGUGUCCCUCAUGAACUAAAUCUGUUAUAUCAGAGUUGUGAAUGAGAUGUGAAUACAACUUUGCUUGUAAUGCUUCCACAUGGUGAGUUGGUGAGGUAUGUGUGUAUGUGGUUUCAAGCUUUUGACACUGCCUUAUAUACAGUAGUUAAAAGCAAAACCCACUGACUUCAACAGAUGUUGUAUUCAGCUGCCUUAGAACCAUGGCACAAGUAAGUCAGCCUGAGAUAAUAAAUGUAUUAAAUCACAUUAGGACA